CAACUCUGAACUCGCCGCCGUCGUCGGCGGUCACUAGCCGCCGUCGGAGGUCACCGCCGCCGUCGAGCCCUGUUGUUCGCCGCCGCCGUCGAUCCCACAGUUUACCGCCUAGUGCCCCUCAAAAAACCCUAGUUCUUCCUCCCCAAAUCUGACCUCGCCACCUCUCAUGCUCCUCAUUUUCGCUGGACGUCUGACUUGUAAGUCCUCUACCUCAAAACCCUAACCCUAAUUUGGGUAUUUUCAGAUGUAUUCUGCUUAGGCAUUUGAUUCCAAAAGCCACCUUGUUUCUAAGCUCAGUUCAAUGGUUCACCUUAGCCUCUCAGUUCAUCCUUGUGAUUCUGCGGUUUUACAUCUGUUUCCUCCUAAAAUUAGUAGUACAUACGAUGCUUGGUAGACUUCGAAGGAGAAUUGGAAGAUAUAGUUAGCAGGGCACCAGAAGACAAUCGCAUUGAUAAGGAGCUGCUAGCGAGGCUCAACAAUGCAAAGAAUGAAAACAGUUUCGGGAGGAAGCCUAAGGACGAGAGAAAAUAUGAUUAUGUUAUGUCAAUACCAACAGCAA